rnacentral:rRNA from 1 species
UACAGAGGAUGCAAGCGUUAUCCGGAAUGAUUGGGCGUAAAGCGUCUGUAGGUGGCUUUUUAAGUCCGCCGUCAAAUCCCAGGGCUCAACUCUGGACAGGCGGUGGAAACUACCAAGCUGGAGUACGGUAGGGGCAGAGGGAAUUUCCGGUGGAGCGGUGAAAUGCGUAGAUAUCGUCUGGAACGCCAAAGGUGAAAACAGACUGCUGGGAGUGUGCUGACGCUGAGACACGAAAGCCAGGGGAGCAAACGGG